AUGGGGACACCUCGGGGACAUUGUCCCCACCCUGUGCCAGCCCCGGUGUCCCCUUCCCGCCCCGAGCCACAGGGUUGGGGGACACCAUGGGGACCUAGGGGCCGGUCAUGGUGUCACAGUCCCCAGGAACAAACUGUGUCACCGGCGCGUGGCCUGUCACCGUCCCCGGGAAUGAACUGUGUCACCUGCAUGUGGGCUGUCACCGUCCCCGGGGAACGACCCGUGUCACCUGCGCAUGGCCUGUCACCGUCCCCGGGAAUGAACUGUCACCUGCACGUGGCCUGUCACCGUGGCUGGGAACGAGCUGUGUCACCCGCGCGUGGCCUGUCACCGUCACCAUCCCUGGGAAUCAACUGUGUCACCUGUGCGUGGCCUGUCACCGUCCCCGGGAAUAAACCAUGUCACCUGCGUGUGGCCUGUCACCGUGGCUGGGAACGAGCCGUGUCACCCGUGCAUGGCCUGUCACCAUCCCUGGGAAGGAACCAUGUCACCUGCACAUGGCUUGUCACCUGUCACCAUGGCUGGGAACGAGCCGUGUCACCCGCAUGUGGGCUGUCACCGUCCCUGGGAAUGACCUGUGUCACCUGUGCGUGGCUUGUCACUGUCCUUGGAAAUGACCUGUGUCACCCACACGUGGCCCGUCACCGUCCCCGGGAAAAAACCUUGUCACCUGUGUGUGGCCUGUCACCAUCCCUGGGAACAACCCAUGUCACCUGUGCGUGGCCCAUCACCAUCCCUGGAAUGACCCGUGUCACCCGUGCGUGGCCUGUCACCGGGCCCCGGGCCCCGGGAAUAAACCGUGUCACCCGCGGGCGGCUCGUCCCCGGGGCUG
rnacentral:lncRNA from 1 species